rnacentral:tRNA from 1 species
UCUCUGCUGGCUCAGUUGGUAAAGAAUCCACCUGCAAUGUGGGAAACCUGGGUUCAAUCCCUGGGUUGGGAA